AACGAACGCUGGCGGCAUGCCUAACACAUGCAAGUCGAACGAAGACUUCGGCCUGAGUGGCGCACGGGUGCGUAACGCGUGGGAAUCUGCCCCUCGGUUCGGAAUAACAGUUAGAAAUGACUGCUAAUACCGGAUGAUGACUGCGGUCCAAAGAUUUAUCGCCGAGGGAUGAGCCCGCGUAAGAUUAGGGAGUUGGUGGGGUAAAGGCCUACCAAGACGACGAUCUUUAGCUGGUCUGAGAGGAUGAUCAGCCACACUGGGACUGAGACACGGCCCAGACUCCUACGGGAGGCAGCAGUGGGGAAUAUUGGACAAUGGGCGAAAGCCUGAUCCAGCAAUGCCGCGUGAGUGAUGAAGGCCUUAGGGUUGUAAAGCUCUUUUACCAGGGAUGAUAAUGACAGUACCUGGAGAAUAAGCUCCGGCUAACUCCGUGCCAGCAGCCGCCGUAA
rnacentral:rRNA from 1 species